GAGAAGGGCGUUUGGUGGAUGCCUUGGCAGUAAGAGGCGAUGAAGGACGUGAUACUCUGCGAUAAGUCAUGGGGAGCCGAGAAUAGGCUUUGAUCCAUGAAUUUCCGAAUGGGGGAACCCACCUGAAUGUUCAUUAUAAUAACUUCGGUUGUUUAUAAUGUGCAUGACCAGGUACUUGAGACCUGAAUACAUAGGGUUUUAAGAGCAAACCCGGGGAACUGAAACAUCUAA
rnacentral:rRNA from 14 species